rnacentral:rRNA from 1 species
AUGGAGAAGCUGAAAGAAUCCUUUAACAAAGAGCAUGCAGACUGGGAGACGGAAAAGGCCGGUUUAACAAAAAAGGCCGAGGAUGCAGAGGCAUCCCUGAAGCCGGUGGUUGAAGAACUGACCGGCUUAAAGCGGCAGAUUAACGCCAUGACUUCCCCUGUAUUUGGGACCCGCAUUGUUCAUCUGGGCUCUGACAUGCGGAUGAAGCUUAAAGCGGCCUACACGUUGAUAGAACAGCUGUUCUCUGGAUCCCAACGAGCCAUUUGCACUACAGCUUAUAACAAGCCUCCGCCAUCGCUGGUAAAUGAAACUAUUGAAAAGCUGGCCAUGCUACCUGCCCAGAUCAAUGAACUAAAGAGAGCAGCCGCAAGAUCAGGAGCACUGACCGCGCUAAUCCGGGCCAAGGCGUGGAUUCCGGAUCUUGAACCGGCAGAUAUCAUCAAAGGCUAUCCUGGUGUGAAAGAAGACGGCUCAGACUUCCAUAACGACGAUCUCCGAAGGCUGACAAAGGAGAUGCGGCCGAUAGCAAGCAAACUGGCGGAGGAUACCGAUCUAUCUCAUUUUCAACUGGUUUAUGAUGCUGAGGGAAAAAGAUAG